rnacentral:rRNA from 1 species
UACGAAGGGGGCUAGCGUUGCUCGGAAUCACUGGGCGUAAAGCGCACGUAGGCGGAUCGUUAAGUCAGGGGUGAAAUCCUGGAGCUCAACUCCAGAACUGCCUUUGAUACUGGCGAUCUUGAGUUCGGGAGAGGUGAGUGGAACUGCGAGUGUAGAGGUGAAAUUCGUAGAUAUUCGCAAGAACACCAGUGGCGAAGGCGGCUCACUGGCCCGAUACUGACGCUGAGGUGCGAAAGCGUGGGAGCAACAGG